ensembl:lncRNA LINC01515 long intergenic non-protein coding RNA 1515
AGGACUAGUUACCCUGCCUCUGAAGAAGCAGGCUGAGGUUUUCAAAAGAGUAAGAUGUGCCUGCUUCCCCUUCUGCCAUGAUUGUAAGUUUCCUGAAGCUUCCCCAGACAUGUGGAACUGCCCAUCCGUGGCUGCCCAUGGACCAAUCAGCAUGCGCUUCCUCUCUUCUGAGCUCAUGAAAACCCUGGACUCAGCCAGACUUGCACACUCGUCAGGACAACAUCCCUGCAGAAAGGAGCUACUUGCCAUGUUUCUCCUCUCCUCUGUGAGCUGGAACCCCAUCAGGACAACUUGCCUAUGGAAAGGAGCUACCCACUUUGGGUCUCCUGAAAGCUGUUUUGUCACUCAGUGAAGCUCCUCUGCCUUCCUCACCCUCAAAUUGUCCAUGUAUCUCGUUCUUCCUAGAUGCAGGAAAAGAACUGGGACCUGCUGAAUGGUGAGAAUGAAAGAGCUGUAACACAAACAGGGCUGAAAUAUGCCCCCUGCUCACCACAUUGUGAGUGAUGAGGAGAAAAGAGCUGCAGCCCUUCUGGGAAUGCAGACAUCAGGUCUCCCUGAACUAGGGCUGUGGCACUCUCUUUGGGGCUCUGCUUUUGGGCACCAUCGCAUUCCCCUUGUCUAGAUGCUGGUGCCCACAGCCAAAGCUGCUUUUAAUAUGCCUGGUCUAGCUUCAGUCUUCCAUGGAGCUGGUGCCUGUGCCAGUGCCUGGAACCGCCCACCCCUCUGCCACAGCUGGAGCACCUGGCUGUGUGCAGUGGCUGGACCCUGCACUCACUUGCUCACACAUCCCUCACUGCUCCAUGCCUGGCUUGCCCAUGGCAGUUAGGGGAUGCGGCUGGUAGCACAAGCCGAGCAGGGGCUGCUGGGCUGAGUGGGUGGAAUGAGCCCAGCGAGCACAAGCAAAACCUAAGCAGAGGCACCACCAGCCACAGAGGUUUCUGGCUGGCAAAUUGACACCCUAGGAAUCCCAUGACAGCCUGGGCUCCCUGGUUGCCCACUGCAUUCUGGGAGAGCUUAAGGAUCCACUGUCUUUAACAUCAAGUUUUCUAACCUAUAUCUGUUGAGACUUUUUAAGUUACAUCAUUUCAGAAACAUUAACCAUUUUUCCGUCAGAAUCAAAGCCUGAAUUCCAAAUCUUUUGGUACCAGUAGCAUAUUUUUACAGUAAUUUUCAUUUUUCAACCCUGGCCGUUCUGAUUUUGUAGUGUACCAGCCCCUACUCUGGCAUGAGAUGGAAAGGCUAGGGAAACUAGGGGUUCAAACAUUGCAUUUUCAGCUGUUUGAGAUAAUAUAAGCUUUGUGUUAUGAUUCUGCAGGAAAAUAAAUAAGUAGAUAAAUAAAUAGCACCAAAAAAUAACCAUUAAAUGUCUCUGAGGGGCAGACUAAUGAUAAGCCAUAAAUUAGGGCAUAAAUACAUUGAUCAGCUGGCUACUAGCAAACCACCAGAACUCUGCCGCUAUCUGGAAUGAUAACCUGUGGGAUACAGUCAACUUUCUGCCAGAGCUCCAUUUGAGCUUGAGCCUGUCAUACUCAGCUGAUGCCCAAGUGACCCCUUCUCUCAUCUUUCAUUCAUUUUUCAUGCUUACAUUUUCAUACUACCCUGCUUUGUUCCCUUGCCACCUCUUACUUCCCUCCAGAGGUUUACAGCCAU